rnacentral:rRNA from 1 species
AACGAACGCUGGCGGAAUGCUUUACACAUGCAAGUCGAACGGUAGAGGGGGCAACCCCUCGAGAGUGGCGAACGGGUGAGUAAUAUAUCGGAACGUGCCCAGUCGUGGGGGAUAACGUAGCGAAAGUUACGCUAAUACCGCAUACGAUCUAAGGAUGAAGCGGGGGAUCGCAAGACCUCGCGCGAUUGGAGCGGCCGAUAUCAGAUUAGGUAGUUGGUGGGGUAAAGGCUCACCAAGCCAACGAUCUGUAGCUGGUCUGAAAGGACGACCAGCCACACUGGAACUGAGACACGGUCCAGACUCCUACGGGAGGCAGCAGUGGGGAAUUUUGGACAAUGGACGCAAGUCUGAUCCAGCCAUUCCGCGUGCAGGAUGAAGGCCCUCGGGUUGUAAACUGCUUUUGUACGGAACGAAAAGGUCUCUCUUAAUACGGGGGACUCAUGACGGUACCGUAAGAAUAAGCACCGGCUAACUACGUGCCAGCAGCCGCGGUAA